rnacentral:rRNA from 1 species
ACAUAUGAAUAAACAUUUGAAUACACCAGGUCCCAUCUCUUCCUGAAAGCUAAGGAAGGUCAUUCCUGAUUAGUACUUGGAUGGGAGACCUCAAACAAAUACCAGCUGCUGUAUGUU